UAAACUCUUUUUAAUCUUGGUACUUCGUCAAUAGUUCGUGGUAAAUUUGUAAUAGCAUCAUAAACUUGAGCACGUUAUAUUCUGCAACUCUCCACAGUCUAAAGGGUUCAUUCCAAGUGUAAAGUAUAGUAAGGCACUUAUCGACAACGCUGGCAGUUGGAAGUCGAAAGGCAGUUGAAGGAUCAAAAUGCUGGUAUCCCAAUGGAUUUUGGUGUAGAGCAAUGGAGCGAAGACUGGAAGAAAACAGUCGCUCUUCCAAGUUUUUACUGUCUUGAGGAGAUUCGUAUAUUUGCCUUAGCUAAUAUUCUUCGAAGACCAAUUCUGGUAAUAUGUGCCAAUUUUAAUCGUGGUGACUAUGAUGAACCAAUUGCUGGUGUAAACCUUGGUGGCAUAUACUUACCACUGUUAUCUGACUCCGUGGGUUGUAUCAAAACUCCUCUUUUGAUUCGCUAUCACCAUGGACACUUUACAGAACUUGUGUUGACAGAAAAUAAUGAAGGAGUAUCAUUAAUGAAAUACGAUGGUCAGCCUAGGAAACUCCGUUGUUUGAGGAAAGGAAUUUCUCAGAUCGAUUACUGCGGGAAUACUUGAAUUGUUUAAAGUUGAAUUACACCGAUGAAAAUGGGUGUAUAACGAAAAUACUUGUAGCUAAAAUGUAAGCCUGUGAUACUUGUGGCUAAAAUAGCCUUGUUGGAAGUCUUGCAUGGACGCUGUUCUAACGAUAUAAAAUAUACAAGACAUUCAAGAACUUUAUAAAAUAUGUUUAGUGAGCUUCCAAGGUGUAAUAUAUUAUUCAGUCCAGGAUGACUAAAAAAGCGUUUUUACUUGAGAAAUGCUCUCUUAU